rnacentral:rRNA from 1 species
UACGUAGGCAGCGAGCGUUGUUCGGAAUUACUGGGCAUAAAGGGUGCGUAGGCGGCUUGUUAGGUCACUGGUGAAAGUUUUCGGCCCAACCGGAAAAUUGCCUGUGAUACCGGCGAGCUCGAGUGCGUGAGGGGUGGGGGGAACGAGCAGUGUAGCGGUGAAAUGCGUAGAUAUUGCUCGGAAGGCCGGAGCCGAAGGGGCCCCACUGGUACGUAACUGACGCUGAGGCACGAAAGCGUGGGGAGCAAACAGG